GAUGAACGCUGGCGGCGUGCCUAAUACAUGCAAGUCGAGCGAACAGACGAGGAGCUUGCUCCUCUGACGUUAGCGGCGGACGGGUGAGUAACACGUGGAUAACCUACCUAUAAGACUGGGAUAACUUCGGGAAACCGGAGCUAAUACCGGAUAAUAUAUUGAACCGCAUGGUUCAAUAGUGAAAGACGGUUUUGCUGUCACUUAUAGAUGGAUCCGCGCCGCAUUAGCUAGUUGGUAAGGUAACGGCUUACCAAGGCAACGAUGCGUAGCCGACCUGAGAGGGUGAUAGGCCACACUGGAACUGAGACACGGACCAGACUCCUACGGGAGGCAGCAGUAGGGAAUCUUCCGCAAUGGGCGAAAGCCUGACGGAGCAACGCCGCGUGAGUGAUGAAGGUCUUCGGAUCGUAAAACUCUGUUAUUAGGGAAGAACAAAUGUGUAAGUAACUAUGCACGUCUUGACGGUACCGAAUCAGAAAGCCACGGCUAACUACGUG
rnacentral:rRNA from 1 species